GACGAACGCUGGCGGCGUGCUUAACACAUGCAAGUCGAACGAUGAAGCUGGAGCUUGCUCCGGUGGAUUAGUGGCGAACGGGUGAGUAACACGUGAGCAAUCUGCCCUAGACUCUGGGAUAACUGCGGGAAACUGUAGCUAAUACCGGAUAUGAGGCUUGGAGGCAUCUCCAGGUCUGGAAAGAAUUUCGGUCAAGGAUGAGCUCGCGGCCUAUCAGCUAGUUGGUGAGGUAAUGGCUCACCAAGGCGACGACGGGUAGCCGGCCUGAGAGGGGGACCGGCCACACUGGGACUGAGACACGGCCCAGACUCCUACGGGAGGCAGCAGUGGGGAAUAUUGCACAAUGGGCGAAAGCCUGAUGCAGCAACGCCGCGUGAGGGAUGAAGGCCUUCGGGUUGUAAACCUCUUUUAGCAGGGAAGAAGCGAAAGUGACGGUACCUGCAGAAAAAGCACCGGCUAACUACGUGCCAGCAGCCGCCGCGG
rnacentral:rRNA from 1 species